rnacentral:rRNA from 1 species
UGGCAGCGUGCUUAACACAUGCAAGUCGAACGGAAAGGCCUUUUCGGAGGUACUCGAGUGGCGAACGGGUGAGUAACACGUGGGUGAUCUGCCCUGCACUCUGGGAUAAGCCUGGGAAACUGGGUCUAAUACCGGAUAGGACCGCACUUUAGUGUGUGUGGUGGAAAGUUUUUUCGGUGUAGGAUGAGCCCGCGGCCUAUCAGCUUGUUGGUGGGGUAAUGGCCUACCAAGGCGGCGACGGGUAGCCGGACUGAGAGGUUGGUCGGCCACAUUGGGACUGAGAUACGGCCCAGACUCCUACGGGAGGCAGCAGUGGGGAAUAUUGCACAAUGGGCGCAAGCCUGAUGCAGCGACGCCGCGUGGGGGAUGACGGCCUUCGGGUUGUAAACUCCUUUCGCCAGGGACGAAGCGUUUUGUGACGGUACCUGGAGAAGAAGCACCGGCUAACUACGUGCCAGCAGCCGCGGUAAUACGUAGGGUGCAAGCGUUGUCCGGAAUUACUGGGCGUAAAGAGCUCGUAGGUGGUUUGUCACGUCGUCUGUGAAAUUCCACAGCUUAACUGUGGGCGUGCAGGCGAUACGGGCUGACUUGAGUACUGUAGGGGUAACUGGAAUUCCUGGUGUAGCGGUGAAAUGCGCAGAUAUCAGGAGGACACCGAUGGCGAAGGCAGGUUACUGGGCAGUUACUGACGCUGAGGAGCGAAAGCAUGGGUAGCAAACAGGAUUA